rnacentral:rRNA from 1 species
GUCGAACGGCAGCGCGGACUUCGGUCUGGCGGCGAGUGGCGAACGGGUGAGUAAUACAUCGGAACGUACCCUGUUGUGGGGGAUAACUAGUCGAAAGAUUAGCUAAUACCGCAUACGACCUGAGGGUGAAAGCGGGGGACCGAAAGGCCUCGCGCAGCAGGAGCGGCCGAUGUCUGAUUAGCUAGUUGGUGGGGUAAAGGCCCACCAAGGCGACGAUCAGUAGCUGGUCUGAGAGGACGAUCAGCCACACUGGGACUGAGACACGGCCCAGACUCCUACGGGAGGCAGCAGUGGGGAAUUUUGGACAAUGGGGGCAACCCUGAUCCAGCAAUGCCGCGUGUGUGAAGAAGGCCUUCGGGUUGUAAAGCACUUUUGUCCGGAAAGAAAUUGCUCUGGCUAAUACCUGGGGUAGAUGACGGUACCGGAAGAAUAAGCACCGGCUAACUACGUGCCAGCAGCCGCGGUAAUACGUAGGGUGCGAGCGUUAAUCGGAAUUACUGGGCGUAAAGCGUGCGCAGGCGGUUUUGUAAGACAGGCGUGAAAUCCCCGGGCUCAACCUGGGAAUUGCGCUUGUGACUGCAAGGCUAGAGUGCGUCAGAGGGGGGUAGAAUUCCACGUGUAGCAGUGAAAUGCGUAGAGAUGUGGAGGAAUACCGA